UACGGGGGGGGGUAAGCGUUGUUCGGAAUUACUGGGCGUAAAGGGCUCGUAGGCGGCCAACUAAGUCAGACGUGAAAUCCCUCAGCUUAACUGGGGAACUGCGUCUGAUACUGGAUGGCUUGGAUUCGGGAGAGGAAUGCGGAAUUCCAGGUGUAGCGGUGAAAUGCGUAGAUAUCUGGAGGAACACCGGUGGCGAAGGCGGCAUUCUGGACCGACAUUGACGCUGAGGAGCGAAAGCGUGGGGAGCGAACAGG
rnacentral:rRNA from 1 species